AUUGAACGCUGGCGGCAGGCCUAACACAUGCAAGUCGAGUGGAUGAGAGGAGCUUGCUUCUCGAUUCAGCGGCGGACGGGUGAGUAAUGCCUAGGAAUCUGCCUGAUAGUGGGGGACAACGUUUCGAAAGGAACGCUAAUACCGCAUACGUCCUACGGGAGAAAGCAGGGGACCUUCGGGCCUUGCGCUAUCAGAUGAGCCUAGGUCGGAUUAGCUAGUUGGUGAGGUAAUGGCUCACCAAGGCGACGAUCCGUAACUGGUCUGAGAGGAUGAUCAGUCACACUGGAACUGAGACACGGUCCAGACUCCUACGGGAGGCAGCAGUGGGGAAUAUUGGACAAUGGGCGAAAGCCUGAUUCAGCCAUGCCGCGUGUGUGAAGAAGGUCUUCGGAUUGUAAAGCACUUUAAGUUGGGAGGAAGGGUUGUAGAUUAAUACUCUGCAAUUUUGACGUUACCGACAGAAUAAGCACCGGCUAACUCUGUGCCAGCCGCCGCUGUAACAC
rnacentral:rRNA from 1 species